rnacentral:lncRNA from 10 species
AUCAGAAUGACUGUGUAAUUUAGGCAUAUCUGAUGUUUCUGUUUUUAAAAUGCAGGAUAUGCUACUGCCCUCAGGAUAUUCAAGUUUGUAUAUGUGGCCUUUGGCUACACUAUUAAACAAAUGGACAGCAUUAAUCAGAGACUCCAUGCAACACAUUUUCAGAGGUAUGAUGACCUGGCUAACCUUUGAAGGCAUUGGCACUACAUACUGUAGAAUAUUCUUAUUUCAAAAAUGAGAAGGAAGACUCUUCCGGUUCUGACUACUCACAGCAGCCCAGAAAACCCACACAAAUACCCACGGGGAAUUAUAAUUAACCUUAAUGAAUUGCCACAUUCCAGGCUUUCAAAGGUCUUAUCCUGAAACAUCACUGCUCUUCAUAGUGCACCCCUGUAUCUGGAGGCGUAUACAAUAGCAGCUGUGAGGAAAUGCUGCAGGCAAAACAAACGGCAGCAUCAUUACGGCUAUUUUUAGCCUGUAGGAUGGAAUCAGCUCAGGGCUGCUGGCUCGGCUCACACACCCACCUACUGAGGCGUCAGCGUUCCACAGCACACCAGAGCAGGACCAUUUCAGUAACGACUCAGAAGACGUCAGGACAAUUCUGACUGAACACAGAAUUCUCCCUGAAAUUGCUAUAUGCAGAAAAACUCAGUCUCACCUCCAGGGAUCACAGAUAAUAGACCAAGAAAAUGAGGAACGGAUCAUGGCUCCCUCCACCUGGCUUUUUCCAGUCUUCAUUGUCACACACUCUUCAGCUACCAGAAGCCACUGCCCCUGGAGGCCCCACCUAGACUUCUCAGACAAGGAUGUCUUGCUUCGAGAUUUGAAGCAGAUACCAAUGCCUUUAAUGAUGUCAGAUCUGCUGCCUUUGGAGGAACAGAAUGCUUUAGCCCAAUGUGGAAAUCAACGAAGUCAGAGGAUACACUUAAAUUUGUCCUUGAAACAAGAGUAGGAGGAUUGAGAUUUUUCUUUUUUUUUUAAAUUUUUUAUUUUAUUGUUAUUAUACUUUAAGUUUUAGGGUACAUGUGCACAAUGUGCAGGUUAGUUACAUAUGUAUACAUGUGCCAUGCUGGUGUGCUGCACCCAUUAAUUCGUCAUUUAGCAUUAGGUAUAUCUCCUAAUGCUAUCCCUCCCCCGUCCCCCAACCCCACACCAGUCCCCAGAGUGUGAUGUUCCCCUUCC